GGGAUUAUAGGUGUGAGCCACCGCGCCCGGCCUCACAUGCAGUUUUCAGUUUGGGCUUGUGCAUGCAUGCUCGGUCACUUGCACAGGCUCUAUGUUCAUGCAUGUGCAAGUUAGAAGAGGGUUUUUUGGGCUGCCUCUGAUGGUGCAGACGCCCCUCAUGGCCCUAGAGCAGGGAUCCCCAACUCCUGGGCCACAGACUGGUACUAGUCUGUGACCUUUUAGAAUCCGGGCUGCAAAGCAGAAGGUGAGCGCAGGCAUGUGAGCGAAGCUUCAUCUGUAUUUACAGCCACUCCCCA
rnacentral:lncRNA from 10 species